rnacentral:rRNA from 1 species
UACGAAGGGGGCUAGCGUUGUUCGGAAUCACUGGACGUAAAGCGCACGCAGGCGGAUCGUUAAGUCAGGGGUGAAAUGCCGAGGCUCAACCUCGGAACUGCCUUUGAUACUGGCGAUCUUAGAGUCCGGGAGAGGUGAGUGGAACUCCGAGUGUAGAGGUGAAAUUCGUAGAUAUUCGGAAGAACACCAGUGGCGAAGGCGGCUCACUGGCCCGGUACUGACGCUGAGGUGCGAAAGCGUGGGGAGCAAACAGG